rnacentral:rRNA from 1 species
UAGAGUUUGAUCAUGGCUCAGAUUGAACGCUGGCGGCAGGCCUAACACAUGCAAGUCGAGCGGUAACAGGAAUUAGUUUGCUAAUUCGCUGACGAGCGGCGGACGGGUGAGUAAUGCCUGGGAAUAUGCCUUAGUGUGGGGGAUAACUAUUGGAAACGAUAGCUAAUACCGCAUAAUGUCUUCGGACCAAAGAGGGGGACCUUCGGGCCUCUCGCGCUAAGAUUAGCCCAGGUGAGAUUAGCUUGUUGGUGAGGUAAGAGCUCACCAAGGCGACGAUCUCUAGCUGGUCUGAGAGGAUGAUCAGCCACACUGGAACUGAGACACGGUCAGACUCCUACGGGAGGCAGCAGUGGGGAAUAUUGCACAAUGGGCGAAAGCCUGAUGCAGCCAUGCCGCGUGUAUGAAGAAGGCCUUCGGGUUGUAAAGUACUUUCAGUUGUGAGGAAGGGUGUGUAGUUAAUAGCUGCAUAUCUUGACGUUAGCAACAGAAGAAGCACCGGCUAACUCCGUGCCAGCAGCCGCGGUAAUACGGAGGGUGCGAGCGUUAAUCGGAAUUACUGGGCGUAAAGCGCAUGCAGGUGGUUCAUUAAGUCAGAUGUGAAAGCCCGGGGCUCAACCUCGGAACUGCAUUUGAAACUGGUGAACUAGAGUGCUGUAGAGGGGGGUAGAAUUUCA